UGAUACCAGAGUCAAAAGGUCAUGCGUUUCAUGCUUGCAUGAAAAAGCAUGACUUUGGGACCCGCAAAACAUGAGAAAGCAGCCCGAGCAGGGCGGAUUUCGAAUGUUUUUAGGAUUGCGGGAGCACAAAGUGCGGAGCAAUCCGUAGAUAUCA
rnacentral:sRNA from 1 species